AAGAAAAUGCUAAUAUGUCUAUGGCUCAAGUAUGUACUGGCAUUUCCAUGACAAAAACCGAUUGAAGAGCCAACCCUUCCCGUUUUUGUUUUCGCUUCCAUCACAGACUCCAAGCUGAGUCACAGCUCAUGGGGAUUGUGUGGAGCCAAAGGGAGGCUUGUGGAUGAGAAGGAGGGGCAAACCCAAUCGGCAAUCGACACUUGCCCUUGAACGCCAGCCAGUAGAAGAGCCUGAAGCUCAAAUGAGCCAUGUUGGCAGAGCUGCCAAAAUGCAGUCAACGGCGACGCCGCCAGACGUCGGCGCUCAUCCAAUGUCGUCAGCAGCAGCAACGCUAGCACCAUCAGCAACAUUAGGAGUAGCAGCAACACGGCGGCAAUUUCGAAAAUUAAGUGAUUUAAAACAUCACACUUAUGUAUGUAUGCCAAAUUACAUGCUUAACUCAUAUACCUGAAGAACCGAAAGUUGUUGAAUACCAAAUACACUACCAGGAAUAAAAAUGUAUCGCAGCAACUAAAUAGGAGCAGCAACAUUAUUGUAAGGUAGCAGCAACAUGGUUCCUUCAGGAGGAAGAGCUCUGAUGUUACAUAUUGGCAAGCAGCUUUAGCAACAAUGUCCAAGCAACUACGACUGCAACAUGAGGAAAGAAAGAAAGACAGCACUACACUAGCAACAUCCGAACACAGCAACAACUCUGCAGCAGCAACAGCAGCGGCUGCCCUCGAAUUUUGGGGCUUGGCUGCCGUCUCUUUCGCUCCCCGCCCGCUCCUACGCCCCUUGUCCCGCACUCUUGCCAAAUGAACAACUGUCGCUGUAGUCGCUGAUUGUUGUUCUUGUGGCUCAGCAUAAAUUCGCAAAGUAUGCGAAAUUUAUUAGGGUCUGUUUCGCAUGUGCCGAUGUUGUUUUUGCUGUCGUGGCUCGUCUAAUUUAAAGUUCACAGGCAAACACACACACGCACACACACAUACACUUGGCAGACCCAUUUGCACACACACUCGCCCACCGAGAACAACUCUCUUGUGUAAGUGAGUGUGGCACACACAUCGAUAAAAAACCAGAAAUAGCGAAUAAAGGCAACACA
rnacentral:sRNA from 1 species